rnacentral:rRNA from 1 species
UUAAAUUGAAGAGUUUGAUCAUGGCUCAGAUUGAACGCUGGCGGCAGGCCUAACACAUGCAAGUCGAACGGUAACAGGAAGAAGCUUGCUUCUUUGCUGACGAGUGGCGGACGGGUGAGUAAUGUCUGGGAAACUGCCUGAUGGAGGGGGAUAACUACUGGAAACGGUAGCUAAUACCGCAUAACGUCGCAAGACCAAAGAGGGGGACCUUCGGGCCUCUUGCCAUCGGAUGUGCCCAGAUGGGAUUAGCUAGUAGGUGGGGUAACGGCUCACCUAGGCGACGAUCCCUAGCUGG